rnacentral:tRNA from 1 species
GACGCGGUGGCCGAGUGGUUAAGGCGAUGGACUGCUAAUCCAUUGGGGUUUCCCCGCGUGAGUUCGAGUCUCACCUGCGUCG